AGUGAACGCUGGCGGUAGGCCUAACACAUGCAAGUCGAACGGCAGCACAGUAAGAGCUUGCUCUUACGGGUGGCGAGUGGCGGACGGGUGAGGAAUACAUCGGAAUCUACUUUUUCGUGGGGGAUAACGUAGGGAAACUUACGCUAAUACCGCAUACGACCUACGGGUGAAAGCAGGGGAUCUUCGGACCUUGCGCGAUUGAAUGAGCCGAUGUCGGAUUAGCUAGUUGGCGGGGUAAAGGCCCACCAAGGCGACGAUCCGUAGCUGGUCUGAGAGGAUGAUCAGCCACACUGGAACUGAGACACGGUCCAGACUCCUACGGGAGGCAGCAGUGGGGAAUAUUGGACAAUGGGCGCAAGCCUGAUCCAGCCAUACCGCGUGGGUGAAGAAGGCCUUCGGGUUGUAAAGCCCUUUUGUUGGGAAAGAAAAGCAGCAGGUUAAUACCCAGAUAUUCUGACGGUACCCAAAGAAUAAGCACCGGCUAACUUCGUG
rnacentral:rRNA from 1 species